GCCCCUACAACCUACGCAGUAGAGCCGGUAGGAACCCUAGUCCUACCACUAAUAUAUAUACAUGAUUGUUGCACCAUCACAAGAUUUCCAUUAUAUACAUGGCCAUAACUUUCUUUACUGUGAAUUAAUCGACACGAUGCUUCUGUUUUAAGGAAUGGCAAUGCUAAAUUCUACAGUGGUACACUCUACUCUGUCGAAUGUUUACAAACACCACAAAGCUAGAGAUCUAUUGUGGAAACCUUUCUUUCUUUUGUUUGUUAUAACUUCUUAGUGUAAAAAUAAAUAUGGCUUGUCCAUUACGAAACAAAUAUGUAAGAUUUAUUACUUUUCAAAGUUGAAUUGUUCCUGACAAUUACACAUGAGAGUGCAUAUAAUUGAGUUGUGCUGACUUGUUGUUUCUAAAAUGAUAAGCUGGAGCUGGAGUUACAUAUGAGAGUACAGAUAAUUAAGUUGUGCUCCUGACUUGAUUAACAAAAGCUGCAGAAGAAAGGGACAAAAUACCAAAAAGCUGAAAAUUUGAAGAAAGGUGGAAGUAGGGAACUACACAACUUGAUUCAAGAUUACGAAGGGAAAAAGGGCAUUGAUUGAGCAGGAGAAAACAAUAAUGGGCCGAGGCAAGGAUAUAGUGCUCAGUUAGUAAAGAGAUAUGUGGGAAGUGGAGCAGCGGGAUGCAAAUGGAAUUUUUGUGACUCACUGAAGGUGAGCAAAACUUCAGAAAAGAAAUUGCAACAGAAGUAGAGCCUCAUCACCAAGAGAACAUAGGGAUUUUAAGUUUUUUGUAGCCUGCACCGGAGACUGUAGAGUCCUUUGCAAUCCAAAUUCCAGUUCUAUGACUUGCAAGGAAGGAUGAAGUCCAUGUCAUGAAAAUUUUAAUAUGUGGUCGCUGCCUCCUCCAGCCAUGGAUUUCAAAGGACCCCGGCACCACCACCACAGCCCCGCCUUAUCCACUGCCGGCCUUCACAAACGGGCAGCGGCGCGCUUGCCGCGGCGUCCGCUCCGCCCGAGCCCAGUAAUGGGGCGAGGCGUCGCGGCGGCGUUCCUGCACGCCUUGUCGGCCUUGGAUCUAGCCUUGGCGGGGGCGGGCCGAGGCGUCGCGGCGGAGGACGCUAAGCAGACGGGCACGCGCCACCGGCGCGCUUGCCGUGGGCGUCCGCUUCGCCCGAGCCCAGGAGUGGGGCGAGGGGACGCGCCGGCGUUCCUACACGCCUUGUCGCCCUUGAAGCUGGCCUUGGCGGGCCGAGGCGUCGCGGCGGAGGACGACAAGGCGGCCGGCGUGCUCUGUUGGGGCGACGCGUCGCGGCGCUCUGGCUCCAGCAGAUGACGGCAGAGAGCCAGGUGUGGCUUUGUGUCGCCAACAGCCACGAGGUCAUCCGCGCCGGCCACCGUGCCAGGCUGGACCAGCUGCUGCAGCCCCCCUGCGCCGUCGCCGUCUCCGUGGCACAAGAAGCGCGAGUUCCCCCUCGCUAUCGGAGGCUGGGUGUCGUUCUCUAGUGCAGAUUGUCUAAUUGAGUUUCUGAAAGCGUCGUCCACGUCUGCACUUCAUGGGUCCAUACACUGGGAACUCACGCCUGAGAACUUCCUGCUCACCAGAUUGGUUUCAGUUUCUCUGUCUCCAUCGAAGAAGUGGCAAGCAUGGUUAGGGCGAGCAACGAGGGUUCCUGUAGUGCAUAACCAUUUCAAGUCGCCCAAGUUCUAAAGAGAGAUCAGAAGUGCCAGCUACUGAAGCAAAAAAAAGGACCUGAUACACAUUGUAAUCAUGGACUGCUGAUAUACCUGAUGCAUUUCUUCAUGAUGGUCGAUUUCCUUUCACCGGAUCUUACAUGUUUAAUUAUGUGUGCUCGGAACCAAAAACUGAUUGAGAUCUUCAGUUCUUACUUGCAGAUGUUCUGUUAUUCAGAGUGAUAUUCCUAAUGGUUGCUGCUGACGCUAAAAAAUUUACUCCUGAAGCACUAGAAGUGCCCUCUCUAUGGCGCAUCACUCACUGGAUCCAGAUGGGCAACAUUCCGCUUAAAGAUUAAAGAGUACCGUUUUUGCAUGCUAUCAUUGCUUAUCCAAGAGUAAUCUACCAUGUGCCUAAUAUAUAUACAUGAUUGUUGCACCAUCACAAGAUUUCCAUUAUAUACAUGGGCAUAACUUUCUUUACUGUGAAUUAAUCGACACGAUGCUUCUGUUUUAAGGAAUGGCAAUGCUAAAUUCUACAGUGGUACUCUCUACUCUGUCGAAUGUUUACAAACACCACAAAGCUAGAGAUCUAUUGUGGAAACCUUUCUUUCUUUUGUUUGUUAUAACUUCUUAGUGUAAAAAUAAAUAUAGCUUGUCCAUUACGAAACAAAUAUGUAAAAUUUAUUACUUUUCAAAGUUGAAUUGUUCCUGACAAUUACACAUGAGAGUGCAUAUAAUUGAGUUGUGCUGACUUGCUGUUUCUAAAAUGAUAAGCUGGAGCUGGAGUUACAUAUGAGAGUAGAGAUAAUUAAGUUGUGCUCCUGACUUGAUUAACAAAAGCUGCAGAAGAAAGGGACAAAAUACCAAAAAGCUGAAAAUUUGAAGAAAGGUGGAAGUAGGGAACUACACAACUUGAUUCAAGGUUACGAAGGGACAAAGGGCAUUGAUUGAGCAGGAGAAAACAAUAAUGGGCCGAGGCAAGGAUAUAGUGCUCAGUUAGUAAAGAGAUAUGUGGGAAGUGGAGCAGCGGGAUGCAAAUGGAAUUUUUGUGACUCACUGAAGGUGAGCAAAACUUCAGAAAAGAAAUUGCAACAGAAGUAGAGCCUCAUCACCAAGAGAACAUAGGGAUUUUAAGUUUUUUGUAGCCUGCACCGGAGACUGUAGAGUUAAGUUUCUACAUCUCAGUGUACAGUUUAACUAUAUCAGGUUAUUUACUAUGUAGUAAAUAUUUGCUUUUGCCA